rnacentral:misc_RNA from 1 species
AUUGAACUUCAUUAUUAUAUAAUCAUAGAAAGGUAGACUGAUAAAUAUAGAAUUUAUUUACAAGAUUUGUGGAUGGAAAGGAAAUACUAAAAGCUAGUUAUUAAUUGAUGACAACAAAACAUCAACAUCAUUUAAAAUCAAAUUUGACAGAAAAUUUUGGAUCUUCUCAUGAUUCUUGAUUAAUUAUUUUUUCCUUCUGCCAUCAGCAUGAUGAUGAGAUAUAGUAGUACUACUGAUUCUAAGCUGUGACAGAUGUCUCAACAGCUACACCAGAGUAGUUAACUUCAGCCAGCCUGUCUACUUCCCAAAGUUGUGGUAUUGCUUCCCUUAUGUUGUGGAUACUUUCUAAUGCAUAAUCUGCACCUGCAACUCUUUGGGAAUUUCCAACCAAUACUGUAUCAAGACCUACACGCUUGCCAGCUUGAAUGUUACGGACACUAUCUUCAAAGAAAAGUGUUCUGUGUGGGUUAAUGUUGGCAAUCUUUAAAGCCCGUUCAAUGGCAACUUCUGAAGGUUUGCAGACAAUUGGUGUCUUUGGCAACUCUGCUCCAGCCUUAGGUUGAGAGAAGUGUCCAAUAAUGUCAAAGAUCCCAGAGCCAUUAGUGGCGGUGGCGUUGGAGGAUGUGGCUGAUCCAACAAACUCAAUGUCAUCUUCGUCAUCUGAUGGAGUGCUCUUGUGGACUGGAUUCAGUGUCUCAAAGCAUAAUAUCCCUUCGAAACAAUCUUCCAAUCCAAGUUUACUCAGAGCUUUCAGAGCAUGGACCUUAUCAGCAUUAGUGAAGAUAACUUUGCGAAUGGGAAUGCUUAGCAAAAGAUUUCUCAGAACAGGAUCAGGCCUCAAAUUUUCAUAAGGUAAUCUACCAUGGAUAAAACUAUGGUACUCAUCAUAGUCAAAAUCGUAGCCAAUUGCCCUGAGGCCUGCCAUUGUGGUUCCAUAAUUCUUAUACAGUAAAUUACCCAACUUCUCAAUUUUGCUUUGUUCUAUCCCAAGCUUUUCAACCAUAUAAUCUUCAAUAUUCUGGCAAACACUCUUUGCCAGACCAGCACUUAGGGGAUAAAGAGUGUCAUCUAGAUCGAAAAGAAGACAGUCGUAUUUUGGCCUCUGAACAUGUCCAUAUUCCAUCUUGGCCUAAAAAAACAAGAAUCAAAAUGGGGAUGAUUUGAGAGAAGAAAACGAAGAUUCACAAAGAAAUUUUCUCUGUAGUGAAAUUAUAGUAGUGCUUGUAAGAAGAAAAGGAAGAAGGGGAGGAAAAUUAG